UAGGGGUCCUCCAAGUAAAAAUAAUACGAGAAACAGUACGUGCGCGCUCUCCCUCCCUCUCCCCCCUAUUCCGCCCGAGUUAACGACACGCUUUGGGAACGAACUUCAGUUGUCCGGGUUCUUGGACUCCCGGGCUCUUAGGGACAAGCCGUCCUGAGUAGUGAAGCAGCAACACCCGACCUCUGUGAAUCAAAGGGUGUUCCGUCAAGCAAGGGGCCGCGAAGCUGCUCGUUUUCCUUUUCCGUUAGGAUUUGUCUCCUUGGGCUUCAGGAAGACAGACCAGGGAGGCCUGGGACGGGCGGACGCUGCUGUCGCCCGAACCGCCUGGCUCUCCGCGGGGGGCAGGGCGCCGCGGGGGACAGAACCCCUGGGGGCCCCUGAGCUCCGGCACUCUCCGAGCGGCUGCGCCAUCUCCACUGUCCAGAACUGUGCUCUGGCGGGUUUCUAAUGGCUAAACCUCUUAACAUUUAAAUGAGGUGAAUUGCAACAAUUGCUUUUCCCUGAACAGAGCAGGUGCGAUCGUCUCUGUUUGCUCUCUCGCUAUUUCAUGGGCAUAUAAUAGAAAAGCACCAUUUGGCCAAGUACGUCCCCCGUCCCCCGUCCCCCGCUGGCAAAGUUACAAACACGGACUUCUCCCCCUUGCUCUCUGCAGGCUCCGCGUCCCCUCCUCGCCCGCCCGCGGGUCCUUUUCUCCUUCCCAGCGUGUUUUUGCCAUCCCCUCCCCCCUUCUGUCUUUCCUCUUCCACUUUCUCUCCCUUUUGAACAUUUUUACGCGCACACACUGCUUAUCAGCUUCUACGCGCCCAACUUGAAUAUGCUUGCCCUGGCUUUACAGUCAGGAAGGGAGGGGGCACAAAAAAGUACAGAAGAGGAAGGGAGAAAAACAAGAUUGAUAAAACAGGUGUCUUGAUCUGCACCUGCCCAAAACUUAGAUGGAACUUAGGCCACCAGGAGGGGAGCGGGGGGGGGGGGGGUGAUGCAAGCCUAGUGGGCCGCUUCCCUUCAAUUUCCCUGCCCCCAGUGCCGGACUCCUAUAUCAUGUUGUAGGAAUUUCUAAUCUUACCAUAGCCCGAUGACUCAUACCGACUGACUGGCUCGCUAGGCUUCUGCAAAACACCUGGGAAGAUAAACCUGACCCAGAAAACAAUCUCUGGCUCCAGGUUAGCCUUUCAAGGAUAUACAAACCACAGAAUUCCGAUGACUCACCCCAAAAUAGCUUAUGAAUAUGCCAGGGGCGGAAGGGCAUGCUGUUUGGUUCUCUAAAACUUCCUGCCAAACUGAAGAAACUGAACAUACACAGAUAUUUGGGGACUAACUUUGCAGGAGUCACUUUGAUUGGAGUUUGAAAGGAAUGCCAAUAUCCAGCUGCCCUUGACAUGUGUAGAAGAAGUGUCACGCAGUGGGAGAAGUGCCAGACCCCCCUUUGCAGUCCAGGCUCUGCCAUGUGUCCAGAUAGAAUCAAGCUGCUGGACCUCUGAGUCACCAUCUAUAAAAUGGGGACAGUUUCUGCCUUGUUACAAAUGCUACAUGGAAACAACAGUAGACCACCCUUUGUCUUUGCAUUGUCUUGAAAUUUUGUGAGUGAUUUCAAUCCUGAGUUGACACCAAGGGCUCAAAGGACCUGAGAAACCAUAUACUUCCUACCCACAAUAGACGUCAUUUCCAAAAAUGAGAGCAAAAGCACCUACAUGACCUUUUCACUCCCCGCGUUUCUUGAAACACCACAAAAGAAUGAAUAGGAACGUUCUGUGGUUUGGGAUGGGAGCCUGGACAGGUAUGGCCUCUCACAGCAACUCGCACACAGUCCCAGAAAAAACUUGCCAAACAGAACUCUGCUAGGGGACUUCAGGGAGCACUGCGAUUCAGACUGCUGCCUUCCGGUCCUAUCAGACCAAAGAUCAGUUGGAGAUGCUUCACGGUUGCACGUGUUUGCUGGCCCAGAACUCUUAGUGCGUCAUAGCCUCACCUGACACUGACUCAUCGUUGGAUGGAAAGCCAAAGCCUAAUUGUGUUGGUCAUAUGUAGCUUCCCACUUGCAGCCAAGUGUUCCAACCCCUUGCAGAAAAAUUUCACCUUGCUUUCCCACUACACCCUCAGAUAUUUCUAAGACAAUAGACACCGCAGACUUCUGAAUUCCCUUGCCACCCUGAGUCUGCUCCUGUCUCUUCUGAUGGCUCCCCUCCCCCAUCACGGCCCACCUCGGCAUCAAACCUGUUGAAGCUGCUGCAGGGGGUUGGGGCUCCUCCCUGUGGGCUCUCAAUAAAUAUGCAUCCAACUCAGUUGGGUCACUCUCAGAGAUAAGAGGCAGCCCGGAUGACCAGAUUUCCUAAAUACAUCUGAAAACCCAUUACCUGGGGUCAGGGUGACAGGAGAUUUUUUCUUUACAGAAAAACCAAUUUUCUCAAAUGCACAGUGGUAAGCCUCAAUACAGAUACUGUGUCUUACUUGAGCUUUAUAAAAAAUUCAACAUAUCUGGCACAGGAGCUUAAGACUCCGAGGCAGAAAAUCUAAAUGGGUAACAAAAUUCUCCCGAAGUAAUAGGUGGUUCACAGACAUCAAAGAGUCAAACCCAACAUGAAAUAUGUAUUGGACAAAAAUAGCAUAGAGCCAGCUCUUGUUUCUUGAUAUUUCAGGCUGUAUGUUUUCCCAUCUACCCUAGCAGAUUCCUUGUCUUAUUAGUUUGUGUACACACUGUGCUUGCAAAGUGCUAGAAACAUAUGUAUUUUGGAUUUUUUUUGUUAUAGAAAUAAAGAAUGGAUGAAUGUGAGAUUAGUAAGAAUUAAAGAGAAGAAAGGAAAAGGGAAAGAAAAAAGAAAGACUAAACCUGUGGCGAAUCAACAUUUACGCUAUGAGCAUAAGCACUUUGUGUUAUUUUUGUGUGACUUAACACCCUAAUUCUAAAAAUGAGCCUCUGAAGCCCGAUUCUGUGUACAGCGGGCUGGGUGGGUGGGAAUGGAACACCCAGCCCUUGAAAUCAAAAGAAAAAAUUGGGGAAAGAAAGUUUCACAAUACUAUUAAAAAGAAUACCCAGAUUAUUCAAGGUAAAAAUACUGAACAUGUGGUAGGAUCAAACAAAUCUCAUUUACCAAAGACGGGCAUAGUCAAUACUUCUACAAUUCGAGAAGGCAAGAGAGGCUCUGGUGGGCAAGAGCACACACAAAACAUACCUACAUAAAUAAAAGUAGGUGGGCCUCAAAGAAUUUAGGAGACUUAAACAAAACAGGAAAAAGAGAAUUUUAGGGACCAAACUGGGAUUGGUGUCUUCUAGGCGCAUGCAUGUGAGAUGACUGAAAUGAAUACAAGCCACCACCAGGGAAUGAGGAGGAGAUAGAACGAGAACCAUCCCUCUCCCUUCCUGGAGAA